rnacentral:rRNA from 1 species
AUGGCCGAGUGGUCUAAGGCGCCAGACUCAAGUUCUGGUCCUCUUACGAGGGCGUGGGUUCGAACCCCACUUCUGACAAAUCCUUUUUCUUUUUCUUUUUGCUUGCAAUUGCAUUUCUUUUGUCCCGUUUAUAUAUUUAUAUAUGUCACGAACGCAAUCUAA